UCCAGCGCCGAGCGAAGCCAACAAUAACUCACUAUCUCAUUCUGACUUAGGCAGUUCAAUAGGUCAAGAUUCGAAAACGGGUCAAGACGACUCGGAGGACCAAAACUCGUUGGAUGGUGACGCGGAAACGAGGGACUCGCAAACGGAGAACAAAAGCCCUGACGAUAGCAGCGCCGGAUCGAAACGUCGCGGACCCCGAACGACCAUCAAAG